rnacentral:rRNA from 1 species
GACGAACGCUGGCGGCGUGCUUAACACAUGCAAGUCGAACGGAAAGGCCCUGCUUUUGUGGGGUGCUCGAGUGGCGAACGGGUGAGUAACACGUGAGUAACCUGCCCUUGACUUUGGGAUAACCUCAGGAAACUGGGGCUAAUACCGGAUAGGAGCUCCUGCUGCAUGGUGGGGGUUGGAAAGUUUCGGCGGUUGGGGAUGGACUCGCGGCUUAUCAGCUUGUUGGUGGGGUAGUGGCUUACCAAGGCUUUGACGGGUAGCCGGCCUGAGAGGGUGACCGGCCACAUUGGGACUGAGAUACGGCCCAGACUCCUACGGGAGGCAGCAGUGGGGAAUAUUGCACAAUGGGCGGAAGCCUGAUGCAGCAACGCCGCGUGCGGGAUGACGGCCUUCGGGUUGUAAACCGCUUUCGCCUGCGACGAAGCGUGAGUGACGGUAAUGGGUAAAGAAGCACCGGCUAACUACGUG